rnacentral:lncRNA from 1 species
GAAAUAAGAGCUAUAAGAAGAAACAUGAUAUUGAAAUAUAUAACUUCAGCACCAACCGUCUCUAGAGCAAGUGGCAAAGGGCUUGGUGGUUGGUACCCGAGGCUCAAGUUCGAAUUCUAGUUGAUUCACAUUUCUUGCUAAGUUUAUUUCUAAAUGAAAUAAACGAAGCGGGUAGCAUGCUACCUAUCUCUCUCGAAAAGAAAUAUAUAACUUCAGUAGCCUUUUU